UUGGGAGCUCUCCCAUAUGGUCGACCUGCAGGCGGCCGCGAAUUCACUAGUGAUUAGAGUUUGAUCAUGGCUCAGAACGAACGCUGGCGGCAUGCCUAAUACAUGCAAGUCGAACGAGACCUUCGGGUCUAGUGGCGCACGGGUGCGUAACGCGUGGGAAUCUGCCCUUGGGUUCGGAAUAACUUCGGGAAACUGAAGCUAAUACCGGAUGAUGACGAAAGUCCAAAGAUUUAUCGCCCAGGGAUGAGCCCGCGUAGGAUUAGCUAGUUGGUGGGGUAAAGGCUCACCAAGGCAACGAUCCUUAGCUGGUCUGAGAGGAUGAUCAGCCACACUGGGACUGAGACACGGCCCAGACUCCUACGGGAGGCAGCAGUAGGGAAUAUUGGACAAUGGGCGAAAGCCUGAUCCAGCAAUGCCGCGUGAGUGAUGAAGGCCUUAGGGUUGUAAAGCUCUUUUACCCGAGAUGAUAAUGACAGUAUCGGGAGAAUAAGCCCCGGCUAACUCCGUGCCAGCAGCCGCGGUAAUACGAAUCGAAUUCCCGCGGCCGCCAUGGCGGCCGGGAGCA
rnacentral:rRNA from 1 species